rnacentral:tmRNA from 1 species
GGGGCUGAUUAGGAUUUGACAAAAUUAUAAAACUUAAAGAGCAUGUCAAGGUACGGUAGGCCUUGUAAAAAAACCGUUUAAGAUAAUUGCAAAAAAUCAGAGUUAUGCUUUAGCAGCAUAAAAAACUGUAUAAGCUCUGUUUGCUUAUUAUUUUUCUCUUUAAUAAGAGUAAACAGUCAUAUAUAAAGAGAUCGUAUGUAAUUUGUCUAAAAUUAUAUAUUAAAGUAAUUAAAAAACUAAGACUAGAUAAUAUAAAAUUUUGUUUUAUCAUUUUAUAUUGUUAAAAUUUAAAAUAAAACUAAACAUGUAGUGCUAAAAGUGUAAUAAUUUUGGACGGGGGUUCAAAUCCCCCCAGCUCCAGUA